GUGGAGGAGUCUGAAUGGUAGAUCCAGGGUUAGGUAUAGUAGUGUAGUAUUGUGGAGGAGUCUGAAUGGUAGACCCAGGGUUAGGUAUAGUAGUGUAGUAUUGUGGAGGAGUCUGAAUGGUAGACCCAGGGUUAGGUAUAGUAGUGUAGUAUUGUGGAGGAGUCUGAAUGGUAGACCCAGGGUUAGGUAUAGUAGUGUAGUAUUGUGGAGGAGUCUGAAUGGUAGACCCAGGGUUAGGUAUAGUAGUGUAGUAUUGUGGAGGAGUCUGAAUGGUAGAUCCAGGGUUAGGUAUGGUAGUGUAGUAUUGUGGAGGAGUCUGAAUGGUAGAUCCAGGGUUAGGUAUAGUAGUGUAGUAUUGUGGAGGAGUCUGAAUGGUAGAUCGAGGGUUAGGUAUAGUGUACGUGUG